rnacentral:lncRNA from 1 species
GUUUUAAGAAGUGAUUCCAUGGAGGAGUUCUGCGGCGGCUCAGGGCUUGACUAAACAGUGGACCUCAGACAAGAGAGGCUAAACCAGGCUGCAGGUGACAGGAAGAAUUGAAUAAACUGAAAGCAAAGGGCAGCCUUCUAAUUACGCUUCGUGGCUAUGUGGACAACCUGGAGAAGUCUGGAAACUCACUUUGGUGAUAGUAAUCAAACCCUAAUCACGGUGCAGCCACAAGUCACAGAGACCGAAAUAGCAGACUUAUGACAGACAAGGAUGGAGACAGCUAAGGAACUGGCUAUUAAUCACCAGUCCCUCUGCUCACAGCCCAUUGGACCCGAGGGUGAAGGAUGAGGAGGAUGGAAGAAAAUGGGAGUGGCGCUUGCUGCAAAGGGUCUCGAAGGGUCUCAGCACCUGCGAACUGGCUCCAAUCCAAACUCCACUAUUCAUGGUCAAGUUCACAUAGGGCUUGGGGUUCUAACAAGAUGUGACUAAACUUACGUUUUCUAUCUUAUUGAUUGUUGUUGAUGCACGUCUGGUGGUACAUGCUUGAAGAACACAGACACCCUGAGAAGAAAGACAUAGCUCCCCAGAUUCCAGCACGCACUUCUCUGUGAGCUACCACUGUAGCUGAAGAUACAGGGCUCAGGAGGAACACUUGGCCUUCGCUCUGAACUUCAGGCCCACGUAACCAUCAGCCGACAUGACACUGCAAAGGCACCUUAGCUCUGCUGUCCCAGAUGGCCAAGCCAACCUUAUUCCAGAAGCUACUUCUCCUGAUGUAAGAACCAGACACAAAGGACAACCUCUGCCUCACCCUCCUUCACACAACACUGAGUCUGUCAUCUUUGAAGCAUUUCUCAAGCCAUGUUUAUUCCCCUGGCCUACGUGGAACACAGCCAGGUUUGGCGGACUCCAACUCUUGGGAUAGCUUUUUUUCUGGCCCCAAACUCACCUGAUUCGUCUGUCCACUGCCACACUGAAGAAUGAACAGCUGUCUCAGAGAGCUUGGCUCCAGAGCUCUGCAAAAAGAGGACACCUUGCCUUGAGCUGUGUUUCCAGAAUGUAUUGCAGCCCCCAGAGUCAUGUACUGUGACCAGGUGAGGACAUGCAUCUUCUGUUCUCCUGCACCCAGGGCCCCAGCAACCAAGGAUCUGGGGACAUGGCGGGUGUUUGGCAGGUUCGCACUCUGAAAAUAUUUGAUGAGACUCAGUAUAUGCUAAAUAAACACUGGAUCAAG